rnacentral:lncRNA from 1 species
CUGUGGGCAUUUCAUUGUGUUUUCGUGUGGGCAUUGUGUUGGAGCUUUCAUUGGGUUAGGUGUGGCAUUGGGUUAGUGUGAGCAUUGGGUUGUGUGUGAGCAUUGGGUUAGUGUGGCAUUGGGUUAUGUGGACAUUGGUUCGUGUGGGCAUUGGGUUAGUGUGGGCAUUUCAUUGGGUUAGUGUGGGCAUUGGGUUAGUGUGAGCAUUGGGUUAGUGUGAGCAUUGGGUUAGUGUGAGCAUUGGGUUAGUGUGGGCAUUGGGUUAGUGUGAGCAUUUGCAUUGGGUUAGUGUGAGCAUUUCAUUGGGUUAGUGUGGCAUUGGUUGGUUAGUGUG